rnacentral:rRNA from 1 species
CCGACGGGUGAGUAACACGUAUCCAACCUGCCGUCUACUCUUGGACAGCCUUCUGAAAGGAAAGGAAUGAUACAAGAUGGCAUCAUGAGUUCACAUGUUCACAUGAUUAAAGGUAUUCCGGUAGACGAUGGGGAUGCGUUCCAUUAGAUAGUAGGCGGGGUAACGGCCCACCUAGUCUUCGAUGGAUAGGGGUUCUGAGAGGAAGGUCCCCCACAUUGGAACUGAGACACGGUCCAA